AGGUCACAUAAGGAAUCUGUGACUUGAAGGGCAGGCUUCAGGCUCUUGGGGUUUUGUGGAGGAGAGCAGGGUGGAGACAGAAAAGCACCUUGUCUGGGCCCUCACACUUCUCUCCCCAGCCAGCCCUAGGAAAUAACUGUGGCACAGCGCCAGGGACCAAAAUAGGGCAAGAGAACCCACAUUCUGUGAUUGGCUUGAGAGGCAAGACUAACCCAAGAGACAGUCAGGUUGUAUGGCACUGACCCUAAGUAUUCAACAGCUGGGGAGGCAGAGAUUUGUGUGGAAGUUUCCUUGGCAGUGGCCCUCAAGGAUAAGUUAGAUUUGGACUCAUGGAGAGGAGAGGGAAGAACUUCCAGCUGAGAAGAAUAAAAGCAAAGACAAAGUCUUCUUGAACUUGUCCUUCUCCAAAUGCAAAUUCACAGAACCCUCACAUUUUUACAACUGAGGACUCAAAAAACUAAGAGGCCACAAAGAUUAAGAAUGCAGAGCUUGGAAAUGCACACCAAGCAAUACUUCUGUGUCAGUCUGUCUUUUCUAUUCUUCUGGCAGUACUUCCUGAAGAGACUUCACCAAGAAUGCCCAAGCUUGCCACGAGCACCGUUGGUGAAGAAAAUCUCUACUGCUAGUCACGUCCCCUUUCACUUCUCCGGGGGGCUUAAGGGAUGUUUUGGGGGCAGGAAAUAAAAUCUAAGUGUUUACUAAUUAAAA